AAGACGGGGGAAACUGCAGCUUGUCCUUUUCUCCUCAAAAGCCCAUUUCAAAGUCCACAUUCGAUUGCGGGAUUACGCUUAAGAGAAUCAUAGAAGAUAAGGAGCCACAAAGGUUCACUCUGUUUUCAAAGGUGCAGUCAAAAUGUUACACUUCUAAACUGUGGCAACGAGACACACCCUGAAGAAAGAGAGCGUUACACCUUCACAAGAAAACAGAGAAACCAAGAUACCUUGUGAUGUCUUGUACAUACCAAGAAAAAUAUGUCCUAACCUUGAAAGCCCAUUUUGGGUGUGAGUGGAACCACAUCAUUACAAAACCAAAAAGCUGUAUCUUUCUCAUCCACUAUACCCCUUCUUUUCCAAAUGGACACCUGAGACUUUGAGCUACUUCAUACAACAGAGUUUCACACUGGGACCUCCCACGUCUACCUGCAUUUCAGGCCCGAAUCUUUCCUGGCAUCAGAUUUAUCAUCAAGAACCUUUCUGUGGUUCAUUUCUUGGGGCACAAUUCUCUCGUGAUGGGGACUAAUCCCGUCAAAUCAUCCAUUUUUGUUAACAUUAAUUGUGAUAUCCAUUCCAGGUAUCUGCUUUGUGUAUAAAAAGGAAAUUUCUGAAGAUACAGCUUUAUGUGAAAAGGAGUGAUUUUAGUUGCAGAGGUUUCAUACAUAAUGGGAGGCUGGUGAAAAAGAUUAUUCCUUGCUGAAAAACUCUGGAAAAAUCAUGCCAUACAGAAAGCUGUCCACAUGGCCUAUGCAUGGAUUCAGUGCUGUGGGGGAAGGACAUACUCUUUACACUUUUACAACUUCCUGAUGUGAGUGGUUCACUCACAGGAAAAGGGGCAAUGCCUUUGUACUGACACUUUCACCCCAAGUUUCCAGCCUGUGGAGUGGAAGGACAAUUUUUCAUCUAUCAGGCCAGGCCCUUGAUGCAGGAGAAGGUGGCAGUGAAGGAUCUGGAAGGGGCGUCUUUCUGUGUCUCAGCUGUUUCCUGGAAGUUUGCUCCUGGGCACCUCCACCUUUUCUUCACCUCUACCUUCCUUCAUUAGGAGAAACCAGAAUGGUCCCCGACUUCCCAGAGCAGGUCCCCAGCAAGGAGCAAAGAAACAAAAUACAAAGUAAAUAAACACUGGGACAAGAGGGCAUGCAGAGUAAUGAUAAUGUUGUGAACAUGAAAAGCACUGUGGCCUCACUCCACAUCUGAUAUGUUCGGAUAUUUUAUCCCCUCCAUUCGCAUGCUGAGAUGUGAUCCUCAUGUUGGAGGUGGGCCUGGUGGGAGGUGUUGGGGUCGUGGAGGUGGAUCCCUCAUGAAUGACUCGGUGCCCCCUCAUGG
rnacentral:lncRNA from 1 species